AGUGUGUGUGUGUCCAACUCUUCCUCACAGGUUAGUUAAUGACAGACAGUCAGUGAGUGUGUCUGUGUCCAACUCUUCCUCACAGGUUAGUUAAUGACAGACAGUCAGUGAGUGUGUCUGUGUCCAACUCUUCCUCACAGGUUAGUUAAUGACAGACAGUCAGUGAGUGUGUCUGUGUCCAACUCUUCCUCACAGGUUAGUUAAUGACAGACAGUCAGUGAGUGUGUGUGUGUCCAACUCUUCCUCACAGGUUAGUUAAUGACAGACAGUCAGUGAGUGUGUCUGUGUCCAACUCUUCCUCACAGGUUAGUUAAUGAUGUUACUGAGUCAAUGUGAGCAGAUUGUGUCUGUAGACUGAAGAGAAUCAGAGUCUCACUGAUGGUGGAAAUAAAGGUUUUACUUCCUUAAAACA